rnacentral:rRNA from 1 species
UUAUUGGAGAGUUUGAUCCUGGCUCAGGACGAACGCUGGCGGCGUGCCUAAUACAUGCAAGUCGAGCGAGUCUCUUCGGAGGCUAGCGGCGGACGGGUGAGUAACACGUAGGCAACCUGCCCGUAAGACUGG